NNNNNNNNNNNNNNNNNNNNNCCUGUUAACUCUCAACAGACUUACACAUGCAAGCAUCCACGCCCCGGUGAGUAACGCCCUCCAAAUCAAUAAGACUAAGAGGAGCAGGUAUCAAGCACACAUCUUGUAGCUUACAACGCCUCGCUUAACCACACCCCUACGGGAGACAGCAGUGACAAAAAUUAAGCCAUAAACGAAAGUUUGACUAAGCCAUGUUGACCAGGGUUGGUAAAUCUCGUGCCAGCCACCGCGGUCAUACGAUUAACCCAAGCUAACAGGAAUACGGCGUAAAACGUGUUAAAGCACUACAUCAAAUAGAGUUAAAUUCUAAUUAAACUGUAAAAAGCCAUAAUUACAACAAAAAUAGAUGACGAAAGUAACCCUACUGCAGCUGAUACACUAUAGCUAAGACCCAAACUGGGAUUAGAUACCCCACUAUGCUUAGCCCUAAACACAAAUAAUUACAGAAACAAAAUUAUUCGCCAGAGUACUACCGGCAACAGCCCGAAACUCAAAGGACUUGGCGGUGCUUUAUACCCUUCUAGAGGAGCCUGUUCUAUAAUCGAUAA
rnacentral:rRNA from 1 species